UACGUAGGGUGCGAGCGUUAAUCGGAAUUACUGGGCGUAAAGCGUGCGCAGGCGGUUUUGUAAGUCUGUUGUGAAAUCCCCGGGCUCAACCUGGGAAUUGCGAUGGAGACUGCAAGGCUAGAAUCUGGCAGAGGGGGGUAGAAUUCCACGUGUAGCAGUGAAAUGCGUAGAGAUGUGGAGGAACACCGAUGGCGAAGGCAGCCCCCUGGGUCAAGAUUGACGCUCAUGCACGAAAGCGUGGGGAGCAAACAGG
rnacentral:rRNA from 1 species